AUACGGAGGAUCCGAGCGUUAUCCGGAUUUAUUGGUUUAAAGGGUGCGCAGGCGGCCAUUUAAGUCAGCGGUUAAAUCGUGGGGCUCAACCCCAUUCUGCCGUUGAUACUGGGUGGCUUGAUUGCGGUCGAGGUUGGCGGAAUUCGUUGUGUAGCGGUGAAAUGCAUAGAUAUGACGAAGAACACCGAUUGCGUAGGCAGCUGACCAGACCGCAAAUGACGCUCAUGCACGAAAGUGCGGGGAUCGAACAGGAUUAGAUACCCUGGUAGUCCGCACAGUAAACGAUGAAUACUUGUUUUCGGCGAUAUAAUGUCGGAGGCAAAGCGAAAGCGAUAAGUAUUCCACCUGGGGAGUACGCCGGCAACGGUGAAACUUAAAGGAAUUGACGGGG
rnacentral:rRNA from 1 species